rnacentral:rRNA from 1 species
GAGUUUGACUCCGUGGCUACAGAACGAACGCUGGCGGCAGGCUUAACACAUGCAAGUCGAGCGCCCCGCAAGGGGAGCGGCAGACGGGUGAGUAACGCGUGGGAAUCUACCCGUUUUCUACGGAAUAACGCAGGGAAACUUGUGCUAAUACCGUAUGUGUCCUUCGGGAGAAAGAUUUAUCGGGAAAGGAUGAGCCCGCGUUGGAUUAGCUAGUUGGUGGGGUAAAGGCCUACCAAGGCGACGAUCCAUAGCUGGUCUGAGAGGAUGAUCAGCCACAUUGGGACUGAGACACGGCCCGAAACUCCUACGGGAGGCAGCAGUGGGGAAUAUUGGACAAUGGGCGCAAGCCUGAUCCAGCCAUGCCGCGUGAGUGAUGAAGGCCCUAGGGUUGUAAAGCUCUUUCACCGGAGAAGAUAAUGACGGUAUCCGGAGAAGAAGCCCCGGCUAACUUCGUG